GAUAGGGUGCUGAAAAGCAAAAACAACGUAGUGGAACGUAGUAGCUGUUUUUGUGUAAUACAUUGAAUUGGUUAGAAAGUAAUUUCUCGCGCAUAUAUGUCAUGGGGGAAGUUCUGUGACAGUGCCUGACACAAAGAAAAGUCCCCUCCCCACACAUAAAGAUCACGCUGCUAUUUGAAAGCUGCCAAUGUUGACAGACUCCAUCCUGCCACAAUUUUCUCUCUCCAUAAACCCGCGCGCCCUCAAUGAAACCUCCACACACAAUGCGCCUUUCAUCCUUUGUGACUGACAUGAGAUAGCGGGGGAGGAGCCUGUGGUUGUGUUUGCCAGUAGGUGAAGUCACAGACCGAGCUAUUAAAGUGCUGCAUGUUUAGAAAGAAAGCUCUUAGUUAUUUCAUGUGAGACGUGGCUGCGCUGGGGGUUUUUUAUGAGGCCUCCCUAUAACAUUUGUUUGUGCCGGGGAUUGGUGGCUCAUAUCCGGCCUCAUGAAGGGGAGCAACACACUCAGCCUGAGUCACAAAAACCUGCCCGGGGGAGGGAAGGGGAGACCUGAGUUUGCCUGGUUCCCGCCUCCUCCUCCCCCCACUCCAGUUUUGCUCUCACUGGCAGCAGAAAAACAGAAACUGCUUUUGUUCAACCACCGAGCUGCAGCCUGCAAGGCUUGUAGAACUGAGACUCCCCCUCACCCCUCUAUUCUGACAAAGAAUACUUACACACUGGGCCGCUUUUGGGCUAGAGCAAAUAAAGUAUUUGCCCUGGGCCCCCCAACACCACAGAGGCCCUUGUCCAGGGGGGGCGGAAGUAACUAAAAGGACAAUGGAUUACUAUAAUGUGUGUUUGUUGUUAGUUGGUAUAAACCUAAAGGAUGUUAAUAAGCAGCUGCAAGUUUGGACAACAGCUCUGCAUUACAACUGCAGCUAAAAAUGCUAUGGAGAAAGGAUACUGGCAAAUAUAGUUAAACAGCUGGAGGGUUCAGGUUAGAGAUCCUGAAUUUUGUAGCCCACCCUCUUCACAAGAGAACCCAAACUUGCCAGUGCCUGCUUCUCACCACUUUUUUCUCUAACUGCCGACCUGUCUAGAGAAGACAUGGGGGGGAUCUUACAUAUUAUCGCUUACCUAUAUCAUUUUUUCUGGAAAGUCCUGAUUGUCCUAGAAAUGCGUUUUGUUGUUUCUUUUUAUCUGGUAACAGAUUUGUGCCUUAUUUAUAAAUACAUAGGGGCAAAUUCACUAAAGGGCGAAGUGGCUAACGCUAGUGAAAAGUCACCGAUUUACUAAUGGUCCCUGGCGUAAAUUCGCUAGCAAAGUAGACAUACUCUAUCAUAACUUUGCACCCUUACCCCAGGCGAAGUUGCAAAGUUUUUUUGGGUUACCCGUCUUGGCAACUAAACUAUACAGUGGGCACAUGUGUAGGGCAAUAUAAGACCUCUAUUACAUUUUAUUACGUUUCCCUGGCCUUCUGUAGUGUAUGUAGUUGCUGCAGCGUAUACGGCCAUUGUACUUUAACUGCACGCCGUAUGCUAAUUAGGCAUCGCUAGCGUAACUUCGGACUGCUUAUCAUAUUAUCGCUAGCGCAACAGUUCGGUAACCUGUGCGCAACUUAGUGAAUUUACGCAGCCCUGGUGAAACUACGCCUAGCGCAUUUUCGGCGCAUAGUGAAUUUGCCCCCAUAGAGUGAAGUUGAUGCUUGUUGUCAGUGAAUUCAGCUGUAAGGUUGCUGCAGGGCAGGGGGCUUACCUUUUAACUUUCUUGGGGGGGGACUUACAUUUCUUUUAAAUUUUGAAUUGGAGAGACUCAGCAGAUGAAAAGUCUCUGAUGCCCCCCCCCUCCUUUCACAUUAACUCCUGCAGCAAAGAGAAGUGUAAUGAUUAUGUGAAAGUCGUGGGGGCGGAAGUGCAACUACAUCAUUUAGAAGUCAUUCUUUCCCUUGCAGGUUUUCUGUAAGUUCAGAUUCCUAUCAGACCAUGAAGUGGAACUGAAACCCCCUUCAGAAUGAUAUAAUUGUUAAUAAUAUAUAUUAUAAGAAUCCUGCAUUCUUAGCAUCUGCUAAAUGGAUUGUAGGAGCCGGUGAUGUAUAAACAAAGGCCAAAAACUCCAGGGGGGAAUUUACAAACGUGGAGCCAAAAUGGAGCAAAAUGAUCAUUCACACCAGAAAAUCAUGUAACACAAGAGGGGCUUAAAAAAAGAGCAACACUUUUGAAUUUGCUGCACACCACUUACUUCAUAGUGCCGGGUGCAUCCAUAUCCCAGGCCGCUUCCAAGCCCAACACUGCAACAAAUCCAAAUUAGGGAAGAAGCACACCAGUUCAGCUAGGCAAUGCCUUUAGCACAAUUAUUUGCAGAAGUAUUGAACGCACAAGCUUUCGGGGUCCAACCCCUUCCUCAAAGGACAGAAAAUCAACUUUAUACAGUAUACAGAGAGAUUCUUUUUUGUGUUUAUGAUUUAUGAUAUGUUUUCAAUUUCUAACAAACUCAUCCUGGAAAUGAAAGGGAUGGUUCACCUUUCAAUUAACUUUUCGAAAUAGAUUGGACAAUUCUAAGCAACUUUUCAAUUAGUCUUCAUUAUUUAUUUUUAUAGUUUUUCAGUUAUAUGCCAACUUCUUCUGAAUCAUUCUAGCUUUCAAAUGGCAGUCAAUGACCCUGUCUGAAAGCAAAUGCUCUGUUAAGCUGUUAUGUAUUAUUAUUGCCAGUUUCCUAUUGCUUAUAUUUCUAUUCAGACCCUCUCCUAUUUAUAUUCAGACUCUAAUUCAGUUCACUGUGUGGUUUCUAGGGUAAUUUGGACCCUAGCAAUGAGAUUGCUGAAAUUGCAAACUAAAGAGUUGCUCAUAAAAACAUAAAUAAUAAAAAAUGAAAAUUGCGAAUUGUGAAUAUCACUCUCUACAUUAUGCUACAAGUUAACUCAAAGAUGAAAACCCCUUUAAAUUAAACUUACUUACUUAGCUUACUUUCACUAUUUUCUGUUAUGAACGGUUUGUACCUUAGUUCUACAGAGGAACCACAUGGCACCUGCAGAUAGCCUGCCUCAGUGGUGGCUGGGUGAGUUUUUGAACUUGUGGUUUGGUUUUUUGGAGUGUUUGUGUGCUGAAUCAUGUGCCUCUGAGAAUGUAUUUGUGUGUAAUAAUUAUGUUUUGUGUAAUCUAUUGUUUCAUAUUGUGAUACAGAGUAAAGACAAAUACAUGUAAUUAAACAAUCCACAUUUUCUUAUUCCAAGUGUACACCCCACUGAGGCUAGUGUCCUAGUUGUGUGUACUAAAAAUAAAGGUUCCUUUAUGAAAAACAAACAAAGACACUACAAAUAAUAAUAAUCCCAAGUGUUUAAUUACAGAAUGAAGUCAAAUUGGGGCGUGUGAGGUUUAGACUAAAUUCAAACUAUGCUUCUGCAGAGAAAAUACAGAUCCUGUAUGGCAUCAGUCACUGCAGGACAGAUUUCAUCCUUAAAACUUUUUUUUUGAAAUCAAUAGCCUUUAUGUCAGUUACUAGACACAUAGGCAUAAAGUUGUUAUGUAUUAUUAUUGCCAUUUUUAUAUUGCUUAUAUUUCUACUCAUCUUUUCUUAGAGAGACUUCCGCCGGAAACAUGUAAAACAACGGAGGCAAAUCUGACAUUUAUAUGGUGUAAAAUUACACACCUUGAUAAAUUCGGCAUUUAUUUCACACAGUUUUUUUCAGUGAAUUUCAUUUUACACAGCAUAAUAAAUAUGCCCCUUAAAGCAUAAAGAAUUGUUAUUUUUUCCACGAGCAGAGAAAAUGCAUAGUGUGACAUUAGCUUUAGUAUAAUUAAAUGGCCCUUUGACUUCUAAUCAUAAAUGGGACUCAUCAUGAUCCCACUGAUUUUCUUUAAUCUCAGGAUCUUAGAGAUGAAAGGAAGACAGGUCAGAGCUAGCAAGACAGAGGGUAUGGCGUGAGAGAUGGCGUAAAGCUUUAGAGAGCCCAUAAAGUCAUGAGAGUGAUGGUGAGUAGGAGAUCAAGGUAAAGAAAAAAAAAAGCUGCUUUGUAAAUACGUAAGAUGACGUUACUGAUGUAAGGUGUGAUGGAAUCAUGGAUAACUUUGAAAGUUUCAUUUUAUCAUUAUUGUUUGCAGAGGCCAUUGUAGAGGCUGCAUUACCAAAAAAAAGAUUUUUCAUGAUUAUAACAAUAGGUGAAAAGUAUUUUCUUCACAAGCUCAUUUCACUCAUGUUGAACAAACGGCUAUACUGCCCUUUUGUAAUCAAUUUUAGAAUUGGUCUGGGUCGAACUGGAGUAUUGGGGGCCCACCAGGGCUUUGACACCAAGGGCCCUCUUGACAGUCACCAGGGGCCCCUCCCGCUUCCAAACUCCUGACCUCCCCUCUCAGCACAUCGCUUCACAUCUUCUUUUCUUUAGGGGGCAGCUGGUCGGCGGAGCGGGUCUAGGCCAGCAGGGGCCCACUGAGUUUUUUCCUGCUUUCCCGCCAUCCCAGUCCGUCCCUGGAAUUGGUAGUCUAUGAACCAGUUAUUAAUUAAUUUAAUUGAACAUUAUCUGCAUCACCUUGGUUUACAGUACCUGCUCCCAGUGAGGAAGUGUUGCUAACACUUGUGCGUCACAACCAGGACUGAUCAUUACCUUCUACUGUUCAAGGGGAAAUCUUAGGUAUUUUCCCAAGCACACAAGCUGGAACACUAUCUGCUGUGACUUAACUAAAAGUGCCCAAUUUAGGUAAGUUUAAUGCAAUACCUUUCAAGUUAAGUAAGACAUGGUCCUGCUUCUAAUAACUAAUGUGUCACAUAUUAACAGAUCAUUCACUAGCAUCAAAAUGAACUUGGGCUAAAACGUAGGUAGCCCCAUUCUAUUUUAUUUUUAUCUUGGUUGUGAAAUUUUAAGUCGAACUAAUAAUACAUGCCCAAAUGUGGUUAGGCAGUUUGGUCAAUUUUUACCAUACUGGAUUGUUGUGUGUCUCCUCGCUGAGCAGUUUUGAAAGAUCAUGCUGUCAUCCUAUAAGAUUGCAGUAGUAUGUCCAAAAACUAUCUGCAGAUGCCCCUUCUUAGCAGGUGUAUUGGAGAUGGUGCAAAGGUUGAAAUGAGAGGAGACACAAAUCUCCUUUAAAGACCAACGGAACAGUGCUGUUUGGCUAUUCCCCAGAUCGAUAAAUUGCACAACAUCCAUCUAUCCAUUUGGACUGCAAUCCAUAAGAUAACUCUAAUGAAAUUCCACUUAUGGCCACCUUGAGGAAGGGAGUAGUAGAGAUUAGAUACAGCUUGAGAGAUUGACAGUCAAUGGUGGGGGUAUUUGCUAGGGCAGACAGCUUUCUAGAGCCAAAGUUCUGUAAUGUAAUUGGAAGAUACUAAAGACCACUAAUCACUACUGGGUGCUUUCAAAAAAAUUGCAAUUCCAGUGAUUUUUUUUUCCUUUUUAAAGACAUACACCCAUGGGUGGGCUCUCCAACAGAAUACUGUACUUGAGAGGGUUACGAUGUCAUGCAAAUUAUCUAAUGGGGAGGUGGCUUCCUACAGCACUUCAGUGGUGUUGGGUCUCCAACAUAUGGAAUGGUUUUGUCCACCACUGCCCCUAAACUGAUAACAGUGGUGAACCAAAUGCCCUUGUCUGCUUUCCCCACUCUUUUCCACUUGUUAUAGUAGUAAACCAAAUGCUUUCAAAAGUCAAAAAUGGAUUAGCUGCAGCUUUGUGGCCCAAAUGGUUCCAAACUGUGUGGCUGAUCUCCCAAGGGGGCCUAUGCAGAAAAUGGUAAGAGUUAGGGGUGAAUGAUUAUGUGUUGCGCUUGUAUCCCAUGUCAGUGUAGCUAUUUUAACCAUGUUAUGAUUUAUGGAGAGGGGGUCUGACCAGUUUUGGGUCACAGAUUCACAAAGGGGGUGGGGCUGAACACAAAAAGUCUGAAAACCUCUGUUACGGCAUGUAUCUUCUGACUGUAAAAUUUCUUCACUGUGUAACACAAUUUUUUAAAUAUUGCCCAUUACUUUACAUUUAUCGAAACUAAGAAAGCCUCAAUUACAAGUAAUGCAUCAAUUACCCCAGUGUAGCUACUAUUAAGUCUAAACUAAUUAAGUGGCACUUACAACCUAUCUUUCGGUUGAAAUGUGCCUGUUUUGUAACAGGUCUUUACAUGAUACCUUCCAUCCAGCCUAUUAUUAUUAUUUUAAUUAAUGUUAUUGUCGGCAAAAAGCAAAUACUUUCCACUCAAACUUUCCUCUCCUUGCCGUUAAUCCAGAUAUAGGCUAUUUUAAUAGGCCUGUUUUCAUUAAUUUGUAAAGUGCCCUCUUGGGUGGCAACAACAAUACUGCAUUAAGCCACAACCUCCAGACUGCUCUUAUCUAAAUGACACUUAACAUUUCAUAAAAGGCAAAUAGAAUAGGCAUGUCUGACAUGUUUAUUCAUUGUAUAAUAUGAUUUAUGAGUAUAGACACAUUUUGUGCUUGCAUAAAGGAGAGGCUUUUCUCAUACUUGUGUGACCUGCCAUGCUCUAUGUCUGCUAUGUGAACUAUAUACUCUGAAUCAGAUCAUCUUAGAUGUAUUGCUAAAUAGGACUUCUGACAAGGAUUCUUUGUCUGAUAGCCUUCAGCUGGCCACUCUGGUUAAUAUUCUCUUCUUUAGCAAGAAUACUGAAUGGAUAGAUCAUUUCCCAGUGUAGUCCCUUAAAGGAUACUGAAAAUUAAAAUCACUGGGGGAGGGUGCCUAAAGUUAGGCACUCCCCUAUGAUUUAAAUGCUUACCUGGUAUCCUGGGCACUGCCCCUUUUAGUAGAAACCAGCACUGGCCCAGGUAUAUCUGUGCAGUCCUCUUCUACUUUUUCUUUCUUCUGUUGCCAGAGGCAGAUGCAUGUGCAAGCUGGUGCAGGCCUGGGGUAUCAGGUAAGUGAAUAUAAUUACUGGGGGUGCCUAACAUUUGGCGCCUCCCCCAUGAUCAGAAGAUUCCUUCUCCUUUAAGAAGAGGACAUCAUCCACAGCCCAAUAUAGACCUAACCUAAUAGGAUGUUUUAACCUUCCUGAUCAAUGUUAAUGGGGCAUUAAUUAAUUGCCUAUUGCUUCUUAUAAUAAAUACACAUCGAAAAUCUCACAGAAGUCUCUCCCAAAUGCAUGCAAAAACUUUCCAUCAAUUGCACAGGGAUCCAUUUGAAGUCCGUUAUCCAGAAAGCUCCGAACUACAGAAAGGCCAUCUCUCAAAGACUACAUUUUAUCCAAAUAAUCAAAAUUUUUAAAAAUGAUUUCCUUUUUCUCUCUAAUAAUAAAACAAUAGCUUGU